rnacentral:rRNA from 1 species
GAUGAACGCUGACAGAAUGCUUAACACAUGCAAGUCUACUUGAUCCUUCGGGUGAUGGUGGCGGACGGGUGAGUAACGCGUAAAGAACUUGCCCUGCAGUCUGGGACAACAUUUGGAAACGAAUGCUAAUACCGGAUAUUAUGUGAGUUUCGCAUGAAAUUCAUAUGAAAGCUAUAUGCGCUGCAGGAGAGCUUUGCGUCCUAUUAGCUAGUUGGUGAGGUAACGGCUCACCAAGGCGAUGAUAGGUAGCCGGACUGAGAGGUUGAACGGGCCACAUUGGGACUGAGACACGGCCCAGACUCCUACGGGAGGCAGCAGUGGGGGAUAUUGCACAAUGGGGGAAACCCUGAUGCAGCAACGCCGCGUGUGGGAAGAAGGGUUUUCGGAUUGGUAAACCACUGUUCUUGGUGAAGAUAAUGACGGUAACCAAGGGAGAAAAGCUCCGGGCUAAACUACGUGCCAGCAGCCGCAGUAA